UUAAUGCUUAGCCUGUGUCCGAU
rnacentral:miRNA from 1 species